rnacentral:ncRNA from 1 species
UAAAAAUUUUUGUAGUUUAUUUAAUUUAUUUAAAGUUUAUUUUACAUAUAAAUUUUAGUGUUAAUAUUAAUUUAUUUUAAUAAUAAAUUUUUAUUUUAUUUUAGUAAUUAAUAUUAAAUUAUUUAAGAAAUUAAUAUUUAGUAAUAUUUAAAUUAAUAACUAAUUUUGUGCCAGCAGUUGCGGUUAAACAAAGAUUAAAUUAAAUUUUAUUAGUUAAAUUAAUUAAUAUAUAUAUAUAUAUAUAAUGAAAAUUUUAAAUUAUUAGGUGAAAUUUUAAUUUAAUAAAAUAUUAUUUUAUUUUUAUGAUUUAAUAAAUUUUUAUGAGAAACUAGGAUUAGAUACCCUAUUAUUAAAAUUUUAAAAAUUAAAUACUAAAAUAGUAAUUAAUUAUUUAUUGAAACUUAAACAAUUUGGCGGUAUUUUAGUUCAUUUAGAGGAAUCUGUUUAAUAAUUGAUAAUCCACGAAUAAAUUUACUUAAUUUUGUAAUUUUGUAUAUCGUUGUUAAAAAAAUAUUUUUUAAUGAGAGUAAUAUUUUAAAAUUAUUAAUAAAAUUAAAUCAGAUCAAGAUGCAGAUUAUAAUUAAGAAUAUAAUGGAUUACAAUAAAUUUAUUUAAAUGAAUAUUAUUUUGAAAAAAUUAAUUGAAAUUGGAUUUAAAUGUAAUUUUAUUUAGUUUAAUAAAAUGAUUAAAAAUUGAAAUAUGUACAUAUUGCCCGUCGCUUUCAUAUAUUAAAAAGUUGAAAUAAGUCGUAACAAAGUAGAGGUACUGGAAAGUGUUUCUAGAAAGAA